rnacentral:tRNA from 1 species
GACGGGGUGGCGGGGGCGCCGCCGCGGCCCUCGGUCGCGCCGGAGCGUGCGGACUCCGGUGCCGUGCCGUAUCCCGCCGCC